UACGAAGGGGGCGAGCGUUGUUCGGAAUUACUGGGCGUAAAGGGCGCGUAGGCGGCCGUGGAAGUCAGGCGUGAAAGCCCCGGGCUCAACCUGGGAAUUGCGCUUGAUACGGAUGGGCUAGAGUUCGGGAGAGGAGUGUGGAAUUCCCGGUGUAGCGGUGAAAUGCGCAGAUAUCGGGAAGAACACCCGUGGCGAAGGCGGCACUCUGGGACGGUACUGACGCUGAGACGCGAAAGCGUGGGGAGCGAACAGG
rnacentral:rRNA from 1 species